UCGCAUGCACCGAAUACACUCUCCAACCACGCGUGUAUGACUGCGCGUCGUCUUCGCGCGCGUUGUUCCUUGUUCGCACGGCGUUGGUUGAAGGUGGAGGUGUGCUAUUCAGCGACGAGCUUCUAAUUCAAGUUGAAAUAGAAGAUCAGCUAUUUCUCCCUAGAAGAUGGCAGCAGUGCUAAAGACGCCAUGCACAGGGAGCUCCAGCUCAUUGUAUCUAAAAUGGUCGUACAGAAGUACAGCUGGGUUUCUGAGAACAAAUUAGCAUUUAAAAGCCUGGCAAAUGUGCUACUGUUUCUCCUUGGUGCCAGACGUACCCUGUUCAACACAACUGACGCAGCUAUUUCGGAAAUAGCACAAAGGUGGCUCAUGUUCGCUGUGGAUCAAGAAGGUGCACUGAUGCAAAGACGGCGUGCCACCUUGAUGAAAGACUCCAACAGAAGGCCAAGCAACACUUUAUAAUCGCAAGAGUUCAGGAAGGAAUAUAAAAAUGGCCUAUUGCCUUGUAUCUAUUCAGUGUAAAAUAAACCUGCAGCAC